UACGGGGGGAGCAAGCGUUGUUCGGAUUUACUGGGCGUAAAGGGCGCGUAGGCGGUCAUGACAAGUCACUUGUGAAAUCUCCGGGCUUAACUCGGAACGGUCAAGUGAUACUGUCAGACUAGAGUGCAGAAGGGGCAACUGGAAUUCUCGGUGUAGCGGUGAAAUGCGUAGAUAUCGAGAGGAACACCUGCGGCGAAGGCGGGUUGCUGGGCUGACACUGACGCUGAAGCGCGAAAGCUAGGGGAGCGAACGGG
rnacentral:rRNA from 1 species